rnacentral:piRNA from 1 species
UACGAUUAGUCUUUUUUACAU